rnacentral:misc_RNA from 1 species
AAGUCGUAACAAGGUUUCCGUAGGUGAACCUGCGGAAGGAUCAUUAGCAGAUUUGGUGGUUGUGGGUUGGUGGGUAAUACUGCCAAUACACACACAUUCGCGCUUGUCUUGUUUCACAGAGUAAAAACUUGAACUUUAACGACAACUUUUAACAAUGGAUCUCUGGGCUCUU